GACGAAUGCUGGCGGCGUGCUUAACACAUGCAAGUCGAACGGAAAGGCCCUGCUUUUGUGGGGUGCUCGAGUGGCGAACGGGUGAGUAACACGUGAGUAACCUGCCCUUGACUUUGGGAUAACUUCAGGAAACUGGGGCUAAUACCGGAUAGGAGCUCCUGCUGCAUGGUGGGGGUUGGAAAGUUUCGGCGGUUGGGGAUGGACUCGCGGCUUAUCAGCUUGUUGGUGGGGUAGUGGCUUACCAAGGCUUUGACGGGUAGCCGGCCUGAGAGGGUGACCGGCCACAUUGGGACUGAGAUACGGCCCAGACUCCUACGGGAGGCAGCAGUGGGGAAUAUUGCACAAUGGGCGGAAGCCUGAUGCAGCAACGCCGCGUGCGGGAUGACGGCCUUCGGGUUGUAAACCGCUUUCGCCUGUGACGAAGCGUGAGUGACGGUAAUGGGUAAAGAAGCACCGGCUAACUACGUGCCAGCAGCCGCGGUGAUACGUAGGGUGCGAGCGUUGUCCGGAUUUAUUGGGCGUAAAGGGCUCGUAGGUGGUUGAUCGCGUCGGAAGUGUAAUCUUGGGGCUUAACCCUGAGCGUGCUUUCGAUACGGGUUGACUUGAGGAAGGUAGGGGAGAAUGGAAUUCCUGGUGGAGCGGUGGAAUGCGCAGAUAUCAGGAGGAACACCAGUGGCGAAGGCGGUUCUCUGGGCCUUUCCUGACGCUGAGGGGCGAAAGCGUGGGGAGCGAACAGGCUUAGAUACCCUGGUAGUCCACGCUGUAAACGGUGGGUACUAGGUGUGGGGUCCAUUCCACGGGUUCCGUGCCGUAGCUAACGCUUUAAGUACCCCGCCUGGGGAGUACGGCCGCAAGGCUAAAACUCAAAGGAAUUGACGGGGCCCCGCACAAGCGGCGGAGCAUGCGGAUUAAUUCGAUGCAACGCGUAGAACCUUACCUGGGUUUGACAUGGAUCGGGAGUGCUCAGAGAUGGGUGUGCCUCUUUUGGGGUCGGUUCACAGGUGGUGCAUGCCUGUCGUCAGCUCGUGUCGUGAGAUGUUGGGUUAAGUCCCGCAACGAGCGCAACCCUUGUUCACUGUUGCCAGCACGUUAUGGUGGGGACUCAGUGGAGACCGCCGGGGUCAACUCGGAGGAAGGUGGGGAUGACGUCAAGUCAUCAUGCCCCUUAUGUCCAGGGCUUCACGCAUGCUACAAUGGCUGGUACAGAGAGUGGCGAGCCUGUGAGGGUGAGCGAAUCUCGGAAAGCCGGUCUCAGUUCGGAUUGGGGUCUGCAACUCGACCUCAAGAAGUCGGAGUCGCUAGUAAUCGCAGAUCAGCAACGCUGCGGUGAAUACGUUCCCGGG
rnacentral:rRNA from 1 species